UCAAAAGUCAAGUCGGGGGCUGUAAAGCUCUCGUCUACACCCAUGUCUUUUGCGUACUCUUGUUUCCUCGGUGGCGCAAGCUGCCGAUUGGACAAACCAAAACCUUUUUUGUAAUUGCAAUCAGCGUCUGAAAAUAAUCUAAUUAUUUA
rnacentral:misc_RNA from 1 species